AUGACCUUCAUCAUCAUCUUCAUCUGGACUCUCACAGCGUUUGCUCAAGAGUGUAGAGGACAGAUCACCGUCACUCAGAGUCCCUCAAUGACAGCAGCUCAACCAGGACAAACUGUGAACAUCAACUGUAAAACCAGCAGAAAUGUGUACAGUCUUUAUGGGACACACUAUUUCAGCUGGUACUUACAAAAACCUGGAGAAGCUCCUAAACUCCUGAUUUAUAAAGCAAGCACCCUCCAGUCAGGAACUCCAUCUAGAUUCAGUGGCAGUGGAUCUAACAGUGAUUUCACUCUGACCAUCAGUGGAGUCCAGACUGAAGAUGCUGGACAUUAUUACUGUCAGAGUUUCCAUUGCAGAACAAGUGGUCUUUCUUGUGCAGGUGACUAUGUGUUCACACAGUGA